UACAGUCGGACUGUAAACGGGUUCGGGCUUUUAAAAAGCUGUCAAUCAAAAUGUACUUGUCGGGCUCGGGCCGAAUUCUGUCGGGCUCGGUCCUUUUCGGGCCAAACUUUUAAGGCCCAAUUACAGCUCUAAUCUGUCCACUAUAACA